AGAAUGAACGCUGGCGGCGUGGUUAAGACAUGCAAGUCGAACGGUUUUUUCGGUGUAGCAAUACAUCGAAAAAGCAGUGGCGAACGGGUGCGUAACACGUGAACAAUCUACCUCCAAGUGGGGAAUAGCUCGUCGAAAGGCGAAUUAAUACCGCAUGUGGUGCUCUCUCGCAUGAGAGGGUUACUAAAACAGGACCGCAAGGCCGUGUUGACUAGGAGAGGUAGUUCGGCGGCCUAUCAGCGUAGUUGGCGAGGUAACGGCUCACGAGCUAAGGACGGUAGCGUGGUCUGAGAGG
rnacentral:rRNA from 1 species